rnacentral:rRNA from 1 species
GACGAACGCUGGCGGCGUGCUUAACACAUGCAAGUCGAGCGGUAAGGCCCUUUCGGGGGUACACGAGCGGCGAACGGGUGAGUAACACGUGGGUGACCUGCCCUCAGCUCUGGGAUAAGCCUGGGAAACCGGGUCUAAUACCGGAUAUGACUCCAUGACGCAUGUUGUGGGGUGGAAAGCCUUGUGCGGCUGAGGAUGGGCCCGCGGCCUAUCAGCUUGUUGGUGGGGUGANGGCCUACCAAGGCGACGACGGGUAGCCGGCCUGAGAGGGCGACCGGCCACACUGGGACUGAGACACGGCCCAGACUCCUACGGGAGGCAGCA